rnacentral:rRNA from 1 species
CAGUAGCCACGGGAAUACAGAGGAUGCAAGUGUUGUCCGGAAUUAUUGGGCGUAAAGGGCUCGCAGGCGGUUUCUUAAGUCUGAUGUGAAAGCCCCCGGCUCAACCGGGGAGGGUCAUUGGAAACUGGGAAACUUGAGUGCAGAAGAGGAGAGUGGAAUUCCACGUGUAGCGGUGAAAUGCGUAGAGAUGUGGAGGAACACCAGUGGCGAAGGCGACUCUCUGGUCUGUAACUGACGCUGAGGAGCGAAAGCGUGGGGAGCGAACAGGAUUAGAUACCCCAGUAGUCCCUGUCUCUUAUAC